GAUGAAGAACGCAGCGAAAUGCGAAACGUAAUGUGAAUUGCAGAAUUCAGUGAAUCAUCGAAUCUUUGAACGCAUCUUGCGCUCCUUGGUAUUCCGAGGAGCAUGCCUGUUUGAGUGUCGUGAAUACUCUCAACUUCAACCCUUUUUUCGGAAAGGGAGGAAGGUUGGACUUGGGUGUUUGUUGAAGUGCGAGCUUCGACUCAUCCUAAAUGCAUUAGCGAUCUGCCUCGAUCACACACAAUGUGAUAAUUAAAACUAAAGCAUUGUUUAAUGAUCAAGUCGAGACUGCUUCUAACUGUCGCAAGACAAUAACGUGCAUACAUUUGUGCAUGUCAUUUGACCUCAAAUCAGGUAGGACUACCCGCUGAACUUAAGCAUAUCAAUAAGCGGAGGA
rnacentral:misc_RNA from 1 species